rnacentral:rRNA from 1 species
CUAAUACCGGAUAAGCCCUUACGGGGAAAGAUUUAUCGCCGAAAGAUCGGCCCGCGUCUGAUUAGCUAGUUGGUGAGGUAACGGCUCACCAAGGCGACGAUCAGUAGCUGGUCUGAGAGGAUGAUCAGCCACAUUGGGACUGAGACACGGCCCAAACUCCUACGGGAGGCAGCAGUGGGGAAUAUUGGACAAUGGGGGCAACCCUGAUCCAGCCAUGCCGCGUGAGUGAUGAAGGCCCUAGGGUUGUAAAGCUCUUUUGUGCGGGAAGAUAAUGACGGUACCGCAAGAAUAAGCCCCGGCUAACUUCGUGCCAGCAGCCGCGGUAAUACGAAGGGGGCUAGCGUUGCUCGGAAUCACUGGGCGUAAAGGGUGCGUAGGCGGGUCUUUAAGUCAGGGGUGAAAUCCUGGAGCUCAACUCCAGAACUGCCUUUGAUACUGAAGAUCUUGAGUCCGGGAGAGGUGAGUGGAACUGCGAGUG